AACGUAGGAGACGAGCGUUAUCCGGAUUUACUGGGCGUAAAGAGCGUGUAGGAGGAUCGUCAAGUUGGAUGUAAAAUCUCCCGGCUUAACUGGGAGGCGUCGUUCAAAACUGAAGAUCUGGAGUACUGUAGAGGUAAUCGGAACUCCGGGAGUAGCGGUGAAAUGCGUAGAUAUCCGGAAGAACACCAGAGGCGAAAGCGGAUUACUGGACAGAAACUGACACUGAGACGCGAAAGCCAGGGUAGCAAAC
rnacentral:rRNA from 1 species